rnacentral:misc_RNA from 1 species
UUUUCGUAGGUGAACCUGCGAAAGUAUCAUUAGUGAAUAAUAGGGUGACUCUGUAAAGAGAAUCCCGAUUUCCACUUAUUUUCAUACACCUGUGCACUAAGCUUUUUUAACUUAUGUUAAAACACUUGUGUCAAACUUAUGUUUGUGAAUGUACAAUCAUGUUAAAAUGAAAGUAAAACUUUCAGCAAUGGAUCUCUUGGCUCUCGCAUCGAUGAAGAACGCAGC